UGUAAAAUCAUGAUUGAAAAUUAAAAAAUUCGCGGAAUACUUUUUUAAAAAAUUUUUCGUUUGCUUCUUUUAAUUCUCCUCUCUACAUUACUUGGGAACUCUAAAGGGUCGAGAGUUUCUGCUCUAUCUAACGAGAUGGUAAUUAAAGCAAUCCACGUUCUCAUUUUUUUAUUUAGUGUUCAAACACUGCCACAACGGGAACAUUGAAGGGAACUCCGGCAAUAAUUGGUACAGAACGAAUACACCGACCAUUUUAAAAUGAUUCGGAGAAACUCAUUCAGUUUAGAAUUGCUACAAAACUAGAGUUAUUAUAGCGCCUCUCUACAUCUAGAAUGCUAUAACACAAUCUCACAUUGUGAGAACGAAGGGAAAACUAUAAUAUUAAGCUUGAAUUAUCCCCUUCCGAAGAGGAAUUCCCCCAAAACAGUAUGUUCAGCUGCAACAUACCACAGAAGCGUUCAGCAGUCAAUAUCAUAUUCGUCAGUCUGUAAAGGAUCUUUCAGUGCCUUACGGUAUGUACAAGCAAAUAUAUACCACAUAGGUGAAGAAUCUACCAAGGUGACAUAGUCCGUAAAACGUUGCGCAAAUCUGACGGUCAGUUAUAACCGACUUGUUCAACUUAUGUUAAGCAAUAGACUAUGACGUUCUAACAAGUACCUUAAACAUAGUUUCCAAGAUCUCGAGUAAUUCAUGAAAAAAAAUAUAUGUCCGUAUAGAAGAGACUGAACCUCUGACUCUCACAGUUAUUUAUUGAAUACAUUAACGCAAUUUACUAUGAACUAGAAUGUGAUUCACACAGUUUUCUAUAUAACAAUAUGUAACACACACAAAGAGAGAAAAAAUUUUCUUCAGAUGACUUUGUGACUCCUACAAGACUGUGAUUUCUAUAGACGAGAGUAUUCUUCUCACUGUUUUUUAUAUUACACAGUAUAACUCACGCAGUUAACUAUAAAACAGAAUGUGAUUCACACAAUUUUCUAUAGAUCAACGUAUGACUCAUACUAACAUAAAGAAAGAUACAAAGACUGUAAUUUCUUUAAAGAGAGUAGAACUCUCACUGCUCUCUAUAUAUAAUAUAGUAUAACUCGCUUACUUAACAGAAAGUGAUUCACACAGUUGUCUAUAGAAUAACGUAUGAAUUAUACUAACAUAAAGAGAGAAAAGUUUUCUACAGAUGUCUUUGUGACUCAAAAAAGACUGUGGAACGAGAGUAUUCUUCUCACUGUUUUCUAUAUAAUACCGUAGAACUUACGUAGUUAACUAUAAAACAGAAUGUGAUUCACGCAGUUUUCUAUAGAACAACGUAUGACUCAUACUAACAUAAAGAGAGAAAAGUUUUCUACAGAUGUCUUUGUGACUCCUACAAGACUGUGAUGUUUAUAGACGAGAGUAUUCUUCUCAUUUUUUUUAUAUUACACAGUAUAACUCACGCAGUUAACUAUAAAACAGAAUGUGAUUCACACAAUUUUCUAUAGAACAACGUAUGACUCAUACUAACAUAAAGAGAGACAAGUUUUCUACAGAUUACUUUGCGACUCAUAGAAGACAGUGAUUUCUAUAAAGAGAGUAAAACUCUCACUAUUUUCUAUAUAUAAUACAGUAUAACUCGCGAAGUUAACAGAAAGUGAUUCAUACAGUUUUCUAUAGAACAACGUAUGACUCAUAUUAACAUAAAGAGAAACAAGUUUUCUACAGAAGACUUUGUGACUCCUACAAGACUGUGAUGUUUAUUGACGAGAGUAUUCUUCUCAUUUUUUUUUAUAUAACACAGUAUAACUCACGCAGUUAACUAUAAAACAGAAUGUGAUUCACACAGUUUUCUAUAGAACAACAUAUGACUCAUACUAGCACAAAGAGAGAAGGGAUUCUACAGAAGACUUUGUGACUCAUACAGUUUGCUGACAGUGUAACUCUCUCUCUCUAUUAGUGUUAUAUAGAACAGUUGCGUGUUUAGUGAUUCUAAUUCAGUGAAGAGUUUAUAAUGUAUUUUAUAGAAGAGUUUAUAUUCACAUUGUUUUCAAUAGAAAAGUAUUUAACUCACACAGUUUUCUAUAGAAUAGUUCUUUGACUUACAUACAUACACAUUUUUUAUAGAACAGGGUGUGACAGGCACUUUUUCAAUAGAAGACUCUGGGAAAAUCUUAAUUAAUAACAUAAAAUAGAAUAUAUAAAAUAAUUUUUAUUUUAAAUCAAGUUUAUAAUAUAAAACAAUAAAAAUAAAAUAAUUAUUUAAAACAUUAUCUAAAAUAAUUAUUUAAAAAUCUUAAUUAUAAUAAAAAUCAUAAAAUCUAUAUAUUUCCGGUAUAAAAUACAAUUCCAGCUAAAGAAGAAAUCAAGUAAAUAAAAAUUUUGCACCUGCCUUUUGGCUAUUAGAUAAAGACGGUGAAAAUCAAAGAAAAAAUUAAAUUUAUUAAACUAACUAGUGCCAAAAUUAUUAAACCUUUAAGAAAUAGUAAAAAAUAAUUAUUUACUCAAGUAAUAAAAAAACACACAAAAGAACAACGUACAACAGCAUGAAACAAAAUAAAUGAAAAGAAUAAUAAAAUAAAACUUAAACACAUACACAAAGAGGAAAAGUGUUUUUAUUUUUUUCAUCUACGUUUCAAUUGAAAUGAGGUUGAAUUGAGGUGAACUAAUUAAAAACAAAACACAAAAAACACUCAUACAAAAAGUAAAAACCAACAACUACAACAACGAACUUAAACACAAAAAGAACAACAAAGAAAAAUGCUCUUAAAAUUUUUUGCGUUUUAGUUUGUUAUUGUUGUUAUUGCUGCUAUUGCGUGUUGAGAAUUUCGAUGAGUGUGUUGAAAAGCAAAAUUCAGAGUUGAAUAUUUUGUGACAAUAAAAGGGGAAAUUAAAUUAAAAUAAAUAUUGUAAAUGAGAUAGGGAAGAGGUAGAGAAAGAGCAUUUUAAAGUAAUUCAUACUCAUUUACAGUUGGGCGAUUAGAGUUCAGAAAAGAACUCAUAGGUACAUAUGGAUAUUUUAAAUCAGUUUUGGAUUUAUCAAUACAAAACUGAUUGUAACCCCUACAUGUGGUAACAGAUGUUGUAAAAGACAUCCCUAGAGGACACACACACAUAGUGGAUAUUAUCACCGAAAAGUGAUAAGAGAGAAAUGGUGGUGGAAAGAUCAAUUGAUACGUGUUUUUCUACAAGUACUGAUCAGUACCUUAUACCCGAUAGCCCUAAUGAUAAUUAUGUUAUUGUAUGGCUCCUCUUAAAAAUGCGAAAAAAAUCUUAUAAAUAACGCACUUUACACAAUAAAAUGGCCUUAAAAAGGAAGGAGAAGAAAGCAAUUUCAAUGUGAUAAAAGAAGAAAUAUUCCAUUUACUGAUAUUUUUCCAAAGAAAGCUGAGCAGAAAAAAAAAACAAACAAUAUAAACAAAGAAAAUAUUGUAAAUAAAAGAAGUAAAAAUACACAAAUUUUUUAUAUAUAUAAAAUGUUUAAAGAUAUGCAACAAUUUAGCACAUGGAAUCAAAGAAACACAUAUAAGUAAUGUUUUUCGUUCGUAAUUAUAAUUAUUAAAAUUAUUAAACCACACAAUUACUCUGCAAUAUUACACACUUGAAAGUAUUGCGAUUCUUUUGCCAGUAAAAAGAAAGACAAUAAAAGUAUAUAUUUUUGUUAAAGAAAGAAACCAGCACAAAGCCAUUUUGACAAAGAUUUAUUUCAUCGUUGAAAUAACAAAUAAAAAGAAGGAGUAACAGAAGAAGAUUUUAAAGUAAAGAAAAUAAAUUGUUGAAAUAAUUAAACAAUAUUAUGCUUGAAAUGAUACGAAAAUUUGUAAAUUAUUGCUUGAGAAAAUAAAUGACAUUUAAGCAACAGCCGACAAUAAUAAAAAAAAAACUUUUUUUUUCAACAAAUAAAGCAGCAAUAAUAAUCAUAAUUGUGAUGACAGCAAUAAAAGAGAUAAAAAAGUAAUUAUUAGGGUUCUAUAAAUCGACUUUCGAAUAAUCGAACAAUCGACUUUUUGUCCAUAAAAGUGGAAAAGUCGAAGUCGACUAUUUUGUUCCAAAA